GACGAACGCUGGCGGCGUGCUUAACACAUGCAAGUCGAACGGAAAGGCCCUGCUUUUGUGGGGUGCUCGAGUGGCGAACGGGUGAGUAACACGUGAGUAACCUGCCCUUGACUUUGGGAUAACUUCAGGAAACUGGGGCUAAUACCGGAUAGGAGCUCCUGCUGCAUGGUGGGGGUUGGAAAGUUUCGGCGGUUGGGGAUGGACUCGCGGCUUAUCAGCUUGUUGGUGGGGUAGUGGCUUACCAAGGCUUUGACGGGUAGCCGGCCUGAGAGGGUGACCGGCCACAUUGGGACUGAGAUACGGCUCAGACUCCUACGGGAGGCAGCAGCGGGGAAUAUUGCACAAUGGGCGGAAGCCUGAUGCAGCAACGCCGCGUGCGGGAUGACGGCCUUCGGGUUGUAAACCGCUUUCGCCUGUGACGAAGCGUGAGUGACGGUAAUGGUUAAAGAAGCACCGGCUAACUACGUG
rnacentral:rRNA from 1 species